rnacentral:lncRNA from 1 species
UAUCAGGUAUACAUCUUUUUGCAAAAUGAGGAAAAAAAAUUACUGAAAUUAAGAUGCUCAUGAACUGACCCUAAUGGAAAAAUAUUACUUGAAUAAUGAAUAAUAGGAAAAGUGUGCCCAAAAUAUAGACAGAUCAAAGAACAACUAAUGAGAGGAAAAUAUAAAGCCAAAGAAGCUCAAGAGAGUAGAGGAAAAGAAGCAAUAUUUUACAUAUACAAUAAAUACAUAGUAUGGACAUAGAGUGCAUGGGAACUAUAUAUUAAUUAUCUCCCUA